rnacentral:rRNA from 1 species
GACGAACCGUGCGAACGUUGUUCGGAAUCACUGGGCUUAAAGGGCGCGUAGGCGGACUGCCAAGUCCGGGGUGAAAUCCUCCGGCUUAACCGGAGAAUUGCCUGGGAUACUGGCGGUCUUGAGGGAGGUAGGGGCACGCGGAACUUCCGGUGGAGCGGUGAAAUGCGUUGAUAUCGGAAGGAACGCCGGUGGCGAAAGCGGCGUGCUGGCCCUCUUCUGACGCUGAGGCGCGGAAAGCCAGGGGAGCGAACGGG